rnacentral:rRNA from 1 species
CCUGCCUCAAGGCUGGGGAUAACAUUUGGAAACAGAUGCUAAUACCGAAUAAAACUUAGUAUCGCGUGAUACCAGGUUAAAAGGCGCUACGGCGUCACCUAGAGAUGGAUCCGCGGUGCAUUAGUUAGUUGGUGGGGUAAAGGCCUACCAAGACAAUGAUGCAUAGCCGAGUUGAGAGACUGAUCGGCCACAUUGGGACUGAGACACGGCCCAAACUCCUACGGGAGGCUGCAGUAGGGAAUCUUCCACAAUGGGCGAAAGCCUGAUGGAGCAACGCCGCGUGUGUGAUGAAGGCUUUCGGGUCGUAAAGCACUGUUGUAUGGGAAGAAAAGUUAAGGUAGGGAAUGACCUUAGCCUGACGGUACCAUACCAGAAAGGGACGGCUAAAUACGUGCCAGCAGCCGCGGUAAUACGUAUGUCCCGAGCGUUAUCCGGAUUUAUUGGGCGUAAAGCGAGCGCAGACGGUUGGUUAAGUCUGAUGUGGAAGCCCGGAGCCCAACUCCGGAAAGGCAUUGGAAACUGGUUAACUUGAGUGCAGUAGAGGUAAGUGGAACUCCAUGUGUAGCGGUGGAAUGCGUAGAUAUAUGGAAGAACACCAGCGGCGAAGGCGGCUUACUGGACUGUAACUGACGUUGAGGCUCGAAAGUGUGGGUAGCAAACAGGAUUAGAUACCCUGGUAGUCCACACCGUAAACGAUGAACACUAGGUGUUAGGAGGUUUCCGCCUCUUAGUGCCGAAGCUAACGCAUUAAGUGUUCCGCCUGGGGAGUACGACCGCAAGGUUGAAACUCAAAGGAAUUGACGGGGACCCGCACAAGCGGUGGAGCAUGUGGUUUAAUUCGAAGCAACGCGAAGAACCUUACCAGGUCUUGACAUCCUUUGAAGCUUUUAGAAAUAGAAGUGUUCUCUUCGGAGACAAAGUGACAGGUGGUGCAUGGUCGUCGUCAGCUCGUGUCGUGAGAUGUUGGGUUAAGUCCCGCAACGAGCGCAACCCUUAUUGUUAGUUGCCAGCAUUCAGAUGGGCACUCUAGCGAGACUGCCGGUGACAAACCGGAGGAAGGCGGGGACGACGUCAGAUCAUCAUGCCCCUUAUGACCUGGGCUACACACGUGCUACAAUGGCGUAUACAACGAGUUGCCAACCUGCGAAGGUGAGCUAAUCUCUUAAAGUACGUCUCAGUUCGGACUGCAGUCUGCAACUCGACUGCACGAAGUCGGAAUCGCUAGUAAUCGCGGAUCAGCACGCCGCGGUGAAU